GGCAGGGAAAUCUAGACAUUUCUGUGAAAUCUAUGGAAGAGUCAGGAAAGGAAGCCAAGCAAUGGAAGAUGAUAUGACCCGUAACACACUGAGACCCUGUGAUAGAUACUAUGCAAACCCACUCUGCUCCCUCUUGCCUAUAAAGCAGUGCCUGCUAAGUGAAUCCCCUCUUGCCUGCCUUCCCUGAGUGACUGUAGAGCUGUAUCCAAACUCCUGGAAGGAGCUACGCUGCAAAAGGAACAGGGAAGGAUGAAACCAGUCAGUAGCAUUUCCAGAUAGCUGUUCAGCGAGGAUGGGAGGAAGAGUGGAUCUGCAAGGAUGUGAAUAGAAAUGACAGCAGAAACCUAUGGGACCAGUCUGCAGUUCAUGUUUGGAUACUCUUCUGAGUAAUGACUCUCUGUGAAGGAGGAAAGGAAGAUAGGGCACAACAGAGCUGAUAGAUCACUAAAUUGACUAGUUGGUAUGACAGCUGCUUAUGGUGCCUGGCAGAUCUGUAUGUACCAGCAAUGGGCUAGUCGUGGAGUAUAUACUUCACUAUAUAUUACAAUUUUGAAUACCUCUGUGA